UGGAGGAAAGCAGGGGAUCGUAAGACCUUGCGCUUUCGGAGCGGCCGAUGUCUGAUUAGCUAGUUGGUGGGGUAAUGGCCUACCAAAGCUUCGAUCAGUAGCUGGUCUGAGAGGACGGCCAGCCACACUGGGACUGAGACACGGCCCAGACUCCUACGGGAGGCAGCAGUGGGGAAUUUUGGACAAUGGGCGCAAGCCUGAUCCAGCCAUGCCGCGUGAGUGAAGAAGGCCUUCGGGUUGUAAAGCUCUUUCAGCCGGGAAGAAAAGGCUGCGAUUAAUAAUCGCAGUUCAUGACGGUACCGGAAGAAGAAGCACCGGCUAACUACGUGCCAGCAGCCGCGGUAAUACGUAGGGUGCGAGCGUUAAUCGGAAUUACUGGGCGUAAAGGGUGCGCAGGCGGUUUUGUAAGUCAGAUGUGA
rnacentral:rRNA from 1 species